GCAUUCUCUUCAAACAUCUACAGGCAUCAAGAUAAUUGGAAUCAUGUCUAAGAUCAACAACAAAACAAUUAUCAGCAUGCUUAUUGUGUUCGUUUUUGUCGGUAUCAUGACAACAACCCAAGGAGAAACUAUUUCUGUCGAUACUCCAACAAAAAUCCCUUUUUGUACUUCGGUGAUUGGCGUGAAAAGUGGAGAUACAUGUUACGAUAUCGCUCACAAGUUCAAGCUAAGCUCUACACUCUUCAAUUCGAUCAAUCCGAAUUUGAAUUGCAACAAGUUGUUCGUGGGAGAAUGGAUUUGCAUCGGGGGAGUAGCCCUUCCUUAAACAAUAUAUCGAAUCCUAAAGCCAAUAAGAAUUGUAUGUGUAUGUGAUGUUGGCGCCUAAUCAAUCAUGGUUUCGUAUUAGGCGUUUCUUCUACUAUUAAUAAAAAUGUGUGAUUGGUAAGUCAGAUUGUAUGUGUCAAAUAAAAUCAUGGUUGUAUA